CUCCUGCUGUGUCCACAGCCCCUAAUAGAGGUGGCCGGUGAUCCUCUCAGCUGCCCCAGAGGCAGGGAUCGGUCUCAUCCUUCCCCAGGGGCAGACUCAGGGUGACAGCCACAAAAUGAGUUCCUGCUAACAGGCCCGCCCCUGCUGCCCCGUCUGUGAACAGCUGUUUGCUCCAGCAUGGUGAGAGAUGAUGUUGGUUUCCACCUUCCCAGUAUCCAUUCCACCUCCUUCUGGCAAGAGCGCCUCAAGGUUCCUGGAGGGGCUCAGCUUCAGACUGUGGGUCAAGUUCGCGUCUGUUUCAAGGGUCUCUCUCUGGGACCCAGGCUGCAAGAGGAAGUACAGUUGCCGUGUUGCAAAGGGACACAGGUGUGUUUG